CCUCGGGAGGCAGCAGUGAGGAAUAUUGGACAAUGGGAGGCAACUCUGGAUCCAGCCAUGCCGCGGUGCAGGAAGACUGCCCUAUGGGUUGUAAACUGCUUUUAUAUAGGAAGAAACCUUGGUACGUGUACCAAGCUGACGGUACUAUAAGAAUAAGGAUCGGCUAACUCCGUGCCAGCAGCCGCGGUAAUACGGAGGAUCCAAGCGUUAUCCGGAAUCAUUGGGUUUAAAGGGUCCGUAGGUGGAUAAUUAAGUCAGAGGUGAAAUCUUGCAGCUCAACUGUAAAAUUGCCUUUGAUACUGGUUAUCUUGAGUUAUU
rnacentral:rRNA from 1 species